GACUCUUCAUACUUGACUCUUCAGCUACUUAAUUUUUAGUGAUGACUCUUCAAUUUCAAGAAGAAACUAAUCUGAUAGGAACCAAUCUAAAGCAACGUGUUGGUCUUGUUAGAUCAAGUAAAGAAAUGAGAUCACCGGCCAUCCAAAGUAUACACAACAGGAACAAGGAAAUUAGAUUGGUUCCUACAAAUCUUUGUAAGAGAUGAGUUUGGAUAAUGAAGUUGGAGUGUUGGAGCAAGAAAAAAAGAUGUUGGAGCAAGUUUUCGGGAUGAAAUUCACACAAGAGACCAAGAAACUAAAGCAGACUUGUUUUAAAGUUAAUUACAAAAGGAGAAAAUUUUUGGCCUCCAAAUCUUAUUCAUCAUCACUUAGCUAAGCUAUUUGUCUUGUAUAUUCAUAUUCUAAGUAGUAAAAACAACACUUAUUAGAUGGUUUAAAUACAUUAUUAGAUAUUAACAUAGUUUAGGAAACUGAAUGGUAGAUUUGACUGAUU